GUUCUGGCCUUGAACUCACGAUGUAGUCCAGGCUGGCCUCAAACUGUGGCAAUCCUUCUGCCUCAGCCUCCCCAUUGCUGGGGUUAUAAGCGUGCACCACCACGCCUGGCUUUUUUUCUCUUUUAGCUCGCCCAGCCUCAGUCUGUCUGGAUCACCAUCCAGCACUGGUCCCAAAACACACGUUGCUCAGGGCUCAAGUCUUCGCAGGGCUCACUGCAGCGCCAGGAGCCUUUCCACACCUCCUGCCAACCUGGCCUCACCUGCUUGUCCUCCACUGCACAUUUCCCCUCAGGUCCCCUGGCCGCGCUCCGCCUGCCCAGUUUUCAUAAUCCUCUCAGGCUCCAGCGAGAGAGGCACCGCCCACCGCAGGGCCUGGUCACGUGAGGGAAACACUGCGGGCCCCAGGCUGCGGACGGAGCCUGGAGAGCCCUGUCCUGUUUCCCUCCGCGCUGAAGUCAGGCUGUCAGGAAACCUGGCCCGUCUCCCGCUAAGCGACCUAGACCUCCACCCUCGCAUCACUACAUGCGAAUUAUACCUCUGUUGGAAGACGAGGAGGUGCUGUCAUCGUUCAUUACAUCAGCAAGCGCUCGUGGAGAACCUGCCACACCAACAGACCAGACUGGAUGCUUUGGAUCCAGUCUCUGGCUCAGCUGUCCUGUGAGGGAGCAGCCACAGGGAGACAAACGGCACUUCCUGUGCACUUCGAGCAGCUGGCUAUUUACAAGAGCCCCUGGUCACACAGGAAUCUGGCCAGGCAUGGUAACACACCCCUGUAAAUCCAGGACUAAGGAGAAGAGACAGGAGAAUUAUUGGGUCGAACUUGGGACCUUGCGCUUGCCAGGCAGGUGGCGGAACCACUGAGCUAAAUCCCUGGCUCGGCUGAGUGAAUUUUUGAUAGGACAAAUGUCCCACUGCAUUAUCUGCGUGAGGGGGAAGUCAGCCUGUGAAUUGUGGAUACAAAAGUCCCUUUUCCCCUUAUCCUCAGCUGGGAGACUUUUCCCUGGCUCACUCUCACCCUGUAGAGUGUACCUCUUUUCUACCUUCAAUAAAUGUACCAUUUUGCUGCCU
ensembl:lncRNA